GCUAGAAUAGUUUAAAUUUAAGAAUUUUUAAUUUGUAAUUAAAAGGUUUUGGCU
rnacentral:tRNA from 1 species